UUACAUGAUAACACUGCAGAAAAUGUCUGGUCUCUUGUUGGGAAGCAGAGAUGUAAAACAAUGAUCGAGUUUUCAAAUUGUUCGGAAGGAUCGCAUAAGGCGGACACCUACCUUGGUCAGAAAGAGGGUGGGCGUGUCGGAAGAUAUUACGUCACCUUAACCGAGGAAAGCAACGAUCGCGGCUUUGAGGAGAGAACAUAUUCCUAUAAAGAAGACACAAAAGGUAGCAGUCUAAAGACUUUUAAACAGUUCUACAUGCCUGGUAUGAAUAAAGACCCGGACAGACAGCCCAUGCUUGAUCUAAUAGAGGCGAUAUUGACAUGGCAAGGUCAGCUCUCGACCGACACACCGAUAUUUAUUAA